rnacentral:rRNA from 1 species
UACGUAGGGGGCAAGCGUUGUUCGGAAUUACUGGGCGUAAAGAGUGUGUAGGCGGUGCUCUAAGUCUGUUGUGAAAUCUCCCGGCUUAACUGGGAGGGUGCGGCGGAGACUGGAGUGCUAGAGUGUGGGAGAGGUAAGCGGAAUUCCUGGUGUAGCGGUGAAAUGCGUAGAUAUCAGGAGGAACACCCGUGGCGAAAGCGGCUCUCUGGGACGGUACUGACGCUGAGACGCGAAAGCGUGGGGAGCAAACAGG